GAUGAACGCUGGCGGCGUGCGUAACACAUGCAAGUUGAACGACGGUGCCAUGAAGUGGUAACACGGAGUGGUAUACGGAGUAGCGGACGGGUGAGUAAAGCAUGAGGAUCUGUCCUGUCGAGGGGGAUAACGUUCGGAAACGGACCCUAAUACCCCAUAGUCCGAGAGGUUAAAGGCAGCGAUGCGCGGCAGGAGGAGCUCGUGUCCUAUCAGCUGGUUGGUGAGGUAACGGCUCACCAAGGCAACGACGGGUAGCCGGCCUGAGAGGGUGACCGGCCACACUGGAACUGAGAAACGGUCCAGACUCCUACGGGAGGCAGCAGUGGGGAAUAUUGGGCAAUGGGAGGAAUCCUGACCCAGCGACGCCGCGUGAACGAAGACGGCCUUCGGGUUGUAAAGUUCUUUUAUGUGGGAAGAAUGAAGGGACGUACCACA
rnacentral:rRNA from 1 species